UGGUGUAAAAAAAUUUGGAUUUUCUUUUAACAGAAACUCGCUGCCAAGUUUACUGAUGUAGUCUUCGCAAAAAUUGAUGUUGACGAAGCUGAAGCCAUAGCCGAGGCGGAAAACGUAGAAGUCAUGCCUACUUUUGUUUUUUACAAGAAUGGAAACAAGUUACAUUCAUUCAGUGGAUCAAACGAAAAGGACUUAGAAGAAAAAAUAAAAGAACUUAAGUAGUAUUCUUUCCUACAUUUAACAAGGACAAAAUUAAAACUUUCCUUUUCUGUUAUGACAAUAUUUUGACCGAAAGAAUCACUCAUAUAUUGAUUUUAAUGGAACCUAAUGUUGUCGAUGUUAUUGUUGUAACUUUUGUGGAAAUUCGAAACAUGAUUUAUGAUUUAUAUUGA